rnacentral:rRNA from 1 species
GACGAACGCUGGCGGCGUGCUUAACACAUGCAAGUCGAACGGUGAACCUCUUCGGAGGGGAUCAGUGGCGAACGGAUGAGUAACACGUGGGCAACCUGCCCCCGGCUCUGGGAUAACUCCAAGAAAUUGGGGCUAAUACCGGAUGUUCACCGCUUCCCGCAUGGGUGGUGGUGGAAAGGGUUUCCGGCUGGGGAUGGGCCCGCGGCCUAUCAGCUUGUUGGUGGGGUAGUGGCCUACCAAGGCGACGACGGGUAGCCGGCCUGAGAGGGUGACCGGCCACACUGGGACUGAGACACGGCCCAGACUCCUACGGGAGGCAGCAGUGGGGAAUAUUGCGCAAUGGGCGGAAGCCUGACGCAGCGACGCCGCGUGGGGGAUGACGGCCUUCGGGUUGUAAACCUCUUUCAGCAGGGACGAAGCGCAAGUGACGGUACCUGCAGAAGAAGCACCGGCCAACUACGUG